AUAAUGAUUGAAAGGAACAGACGGGGGCAUUCGUAUUGCUGCGUUAGAGGUGAAAUUCUUGGAUCGCAGCAAGAUGAACAAUUGCGAAAGCAUUUGCCAAGAAUGUUUUCAUUAAUCAAGAACGAAAGUUAGAGGUUCGAAGGCGAUCAGAUACCGCCCUAGUUCUAACGGUAAACUAUGCCAACCAGCGAUUCGCCGAAGUUCAUUUGUUGAAUGAAUUGUUGACGUAUUGUGAAACAUUGUUGCACCAUGAAUUUGGGGCAAAAUAUGCGAAUUGCAUUGAUGAUGAAAUUAAAGUUUUAAUCGACAAGCACGCCAAACUUAUGGAACAGUAUGAAAAUUUCCAAGAAGAAAAGGGUCGUCUGUUUGAAAUACGUCACAUUUGCGACGUUUUGAACGCGCGACUGUUUGAGUUGUAUGAAUCUGUGAAAGAAGCAAGAAGAGAAAAGUUCCACGCGGGUGUUCGUACUCCGGUGAACAGCGAUUCGCCGAAGUUCAUUUAAGACUCGGCGAGCAGCUUCCGGGAAACCAAAGUGUUUCGGUUCCGGGGGAAGUAUGGUUGCAAAGCUGAAACUUAAAGGAAUUGACGGAAGGGCACCACCAGGAGUGGAGCCUGCGGCUUAAUUUGACUCAACACGGGAAAACUCACCCGGCCCGGACACUGGAAGGAUUGACAGAUUGACAGCUCUUUCUUGAUUCAGUGGGUAGUGGUGCAUGGCCGUUCUUAGUUGGUGGAGCGAUUUGUCUGGUUAAUUCCGAUAACGAACGAGACUCUACCCUAUUAAAUAGUGACAGUAUUGUAUUUUUUGUGCAAAUUGAAAGCUGCACGAAAAAGAGCAAUAACAGGUCUGUGAUGCCCUUCGAUGUCCGGGGCUGCACGCGCGCUACAAUGAAAGCGUCAACGUGAGUUACGUCCUUACCUGAAAAGGUUUGGCAAUCGAAUGAAACGUUUUCUUGAAUGGAAUAGGGAAUUGCAAUUGUUUCCCUUGAACGAGGAAUUCCCAGUAAGCGUGAGUCAUUAGCUCGCGUUGAUUACGUCCCUGCCCUUUGUACACACCGCCCGUCGCUACUACCGAUUGGAUGAUUUAGUGAGGUGUUUUGACUGGCGCCAGUAGUCGGAUAUGUAUUCGGCUUCGCGCCGGGAAAUUUCCCAAACCAAAUCAUCUAGAGGAAGUAAAAGUCGUAACAAGGUUUCCGUAGGUGAACCUGCGGAAG
rnacentral:rRNA from 1 species